UACGAAGGGUGCUAGCGUUGUUCGGAAUUACUGGGCGUAAAGCGCGCGUAGGCGGCUUGUCAAGUCAGGGGUGAAAUCCCACAGCUCAACUGUGGAACUGCCUUUGAAACUGUCAGGCUAGAGUGUCGGAGGGGAUAGCGGAAUUGCUAAUGUAGAGGUGAAAUUCGUAGAUAUUAGCAGGAACACCGGUGGCGAAGGCGGCUAUCUGGACGACAACUGACGCUGAGGCGCGAAAGCGUGGGGAUCAAACAGG
rnacentral:rRNA from 1 species